AUCACGUUGAAACACCGGUUACCGUACGAUCACCGAAGUUAAGCAAUGUUGAGCCUGGUCAGUAUCCAGAACGUUUACCGCAUCUGAAUACCAGGUGCUGUAA